AGCUCUCUCUAAGAGGAGACACAGGACUCAGACUGAGGCAGUUUAUGAAGAAAUUGUUCACAGACACACAAACAAACAGAAAGAGAGUCUCAUCUCUGAGGAACAGCAUUCUGGAUAUGAAGAUGCUGAUGAAACAGUUUAUGACAAUGAUGUCCCCAUUGGCAGCGGCAUACAAGAACAGAACGUCACACCUGAAUACAAUAAUGAUGUCAUCACUGAUGGACUAACAGCAGAUCAUCAGACAG